GGCUCGAGGGAAGUUCCGGGUCGUGACACAAAUUCACACAAUUUCAGCAGCAAAAACCUUGAAUUUUCAGCACCAAAAUCAACCAUAAUAACCUAAAAAAUUCCAGCAACAUAACCUCAAAAUUCAGCUUUCUUACCUCACAAAUUUUCAGCUUUCUUCUUCCUUCAAAAAUUACAGCAAAAGCUCUCUUUUUCCUUCCUCAAAGUGCAGCAAAAUCGUUCUCUUUUCUCUUCCUCUCCCACGGGGGUUCUUGUGAUAGGGAGAGGAAGCAUUGCAAACAAGUAUAAGGAUGCGCCAGAGGCGGCAGAGAGGAAGAUUGGAGCAGUUCCUGAAGUACUAAGUGUAAUGGCAGGUAGAAUAAAGUAAUAAGAGGAUUAAAGAGUAGAAAAGAAUUAGAGAGAGAAGCUCUCAAGUUGAGAAUCUGUUAGCUUAGAGGGGGGAGAAAAGUCCCUCUAAAUGAAUUGUGAGGCUCUAUAUAUAGUGCUAAAAGUGACGGUUACUCAAGAAUAGGAUUUAAUGCGCCUAAUAAAUGACAUUAUUAUGAAGAACAUUAAUGUGAGUAACCAUUACUGUGAUUAGAUGUAAUAAGACUUGUUCUCAAGUAAAAGGUAAUAGAAAAGAGGUGUACAAGAAAAGGUACAAGAGAAGAAGUUGUACAAGAAUAUGUACAAGAGAAAAAGUUGUGUGAGAAGAGGUAUAAGAGAAGAAGCUGUACGAGAAUAGGUACAGGAGAAGAAGCUGUACAUGAAUAGGUAUACGAGAACAAGGUAAGAGGGUGAAACACUUGUACUUUAGGAAAGGGUUAAGAGGAAGACCUCUUAACUACCUCCAUAUUUGAGCCACCAAGCCAAACUCUCCGGAACAUCCCAAGAUGACAGUAACCCAUGAACCUUAUCACUUAUUCUGAGUUACUUUCAUUGUCAUCCAAGUGAAGUGGUUAUUCUAUUCAAAGUAGUUGUUCUACUUGUAUUUAGUUGUUCCAUAUGGAGUAAUGCUUUACUUAUUCUAAUUGUUCUGCUUUAAGUAGUACUUCACUUGUUCUAGCUGUUCUGCGUGAAGUAGCGCUUCACUUGUUCUAGUUAUUCUGCGUGAAGUAGCACUUCACUUGUUCGAGUUGUUCUCUAUACAACAUUAUGUUGUAACAUAAUUCUUUAGAGAAUAGCUAUUAACCCAAA